rnacentral:lncRNA from 1 species
CAAAACUUGUACAAUUUUAAAAUUUAAUCAUCCGACCAAUAUCAGUAAUGGUUUCUAUCUAUUAAUUCUUUCACCCAUGAUCCCAACCAUAGCCAAGUACUAAAUAUCCUGCAACUCUGAAAGAAAAAGAGAAGAGAAGAUAUAAGCUUUACAACCUAGUAAGCAUCUCUAUACAUCUACACCAACAUAAUAAUAUAGGUUUAAAAAUAGAAAGUAAUUGUUACACAAACAUGAUGAAAUCAUAAACCGAUCAUAAAUCGACUAUAGACAAUGCUC